CACGUAGGGCGCGAGCGUUGUCCGGAAUUAUUGGGCGUAAAGAGCUCGUAGGCGGCCUGUUGCGUCCGCUGUGAAAGCCCGGGGCUUAACCCCGGGUCGGCAGUGGAUACGGGCAGGCUAGAGGUAGGUAGGGGAGAAUGGAAUUCCCGGUGUAGCGGUGAAAUGCGCAGAUAUCGGGAGGAACACCGGUGGCGAAGGCGGGUCUCUGGGCCGAUACUGACGCUGAGACGCGAAAGCGCGGGGAGCGAACGGG
rnacentral:rRNA from 1 species